GGUUAAGUUAGAAAGGGCGCACGGUGAAUGCCUUGGCACUAGGAGCCGAUGAAGGACGGGACUAACACCGAUAUGCUUCGGGGAGCUGUAAGUGAGCUUUGAUCCGGAGAUUUCCGAAUGGGGAAACCCACUGUUCGUAAUGGAACAGUAUCUUUAUCUGAAUACAUAGGAUAUUGAAGGCAGACCCGGGGAACUGAAACAUCUAAGUACCCGGAGGAAGAGAAAGCAAAUGCGAUUUCCUGAGUAGCGGCGAGCGAAACGGAAUUAGCCCAAACCAAGAGGCUUGCCUCUUGGGGUUGUAGGACACUCUAUACGGAGUUACAAAGGAACGAAGUAAAUGAAGCGACCUGGAAAGGUCCGUCGAAGAAGGUAACAACCCUGUAGUUGAAACUUCGUUCCCUCUUGAGUGGAUCCUGAGUACGGCGGAACACGUGAAAUUCCGUCGGAAGCUGGGAGGACCAUCUCCCAAGGCUAAAUACUACCUAGUGACCGAUAGUGAACCAGUACCGUGAGGGAAAGGUGAAAAGCACCCCGGAAGGGGAGUGAAAGAGAUCCUGAAACCGUGUGCCUACAAGUAGUCAGAGCCCGUUAACGGGUGAUGGCGUGCCUUUUGUAGAAUGAACCGGCGAGUUACGAUCCCAUGCAAGGUUAAGCUGAUAAGGCGGAGCCGUAGCGAAAGCGAGUCUGAAUAGGGCGUUUAGUAUGUGGUUGUAGACCCGAAACCAGGUGAUCUACCCAUGUCCAGGGUGAAGUUCAGGUAACACUGAAUGGAGGCCCGAACCCACGCACGUUGAAAAGUGCGGGGAUGAGGUGUGGGUAGCGGAGAAAUUCCAAUCGAACCUGGAGAUAGCUGGUUCUCUCCGAAAUAGCUUUAGGGCUAGCCUCAUGUUGUGAGAGUCUUGGAGGUAGAGCACUGAUUGGACUAGGGGGCCCCCAACGGGUUACCGAAUUCAGUCAAACUCCGAAUGCCAAAGACUUAUCCAUGGGAGUCAGACUGCGAGUGAUAAGAUCCGUAGUCAAAAGGGAAACAGCCCAGACCACCAGCUAAGGUCCCCAAGUAUACGUUAAGUGGAAAAGGAUGUGGAGUUGCUUAGACAACCAGGAUGUUGGCUUAGAAGCAGCCACCAUUUAAAGAGUGCGUAAUAGCUCACUGGUCGAGUGACUCUGCGCCGAAAAUGUACCGGGGCUAAACGUAUCACCGAAGCUGUGGAUUGACAUCUUAGAUGUCAGUGGUAGGAGAGCGUUCUAAGUGCAGCGAAGUCAGACCGUAAGGACUGGUGGAGCGCUUAGAAGUGAGAAUGCCGGUAUGAGUAGCGAAAGACAAGUGAGAAUCUUGUCCACCGAAUGCCUAAGGUUUCCUGAGGAAGGCUCGUCCGCUCAGGGUUAGUCGGGACCUAAGCCGAGGCUGAAAAGCGUAGGCGAUGGCCAACAGGUUGAUAUUCCUGUACCACCUCCCCGCCGUUUGAGUAAUGGGGGGACGCAGUAGGAUAGGGUAAGCGCGCUGCUGGAUAUGCGCGUUCAAGCAGUUAGGCUGAUGAGUAGGCAAAUCCGCUCAUCAUAAAGGCUGAGCUGUGAUGACGAGGGAAUUAUAGUACCGAAGUUCCUGAUUCCACACUGCCAAGAAAAGCCUCUAGCGAGGCGGGAGGUGCCCGUACCGCAAACCGACACAGGUAGGCGAGGAGAGAAUCCUAAGGUGAUCGAGAGAACUCUCGUUAAGGAACUCGGCAAAAUGACCCCGUAACUUCGGGAGAAGGGGUGCUCUGGUAGGGUGUAUAGCCCGAGAGAGCCGCAGUGAAUAGGCCCAGGCGACUGUUUAGCAAAAAAACACAGGUCUCUGCGAAGCCGCAAGGCGAAGUAUAGGGGCUGACGCCUGCCCGGUGCUGGAAGGUUAAGAGGAGGGGUUAUCCUUUGGGAGAAGCUCUGAAUCGAAGCCCCAGUAAACGGCGGCCGUAACUAUAACGGUCCUAAGGUAGCGAAAUUCCUUGUCGGGUAAGUUCCGACCCGCACGAAAGGCGUAACGAUCUGGGCACUGUCUCAACGAGAGACUCGGUGAAAUUAUAGUACCUGUGAAGAUGCAGGUUACCCGCGACAGGACGGAAAGACCCCGUGGAGCUUUUACUGUAGCCUGAUAUUGAAUUUUGGUACAGCUUGUACAGGAUAGGUAGGAGCCUGAGAAGCCGGAGCGCUAGCUUCGGUGGAGGCGUCGGUGGGAUACUACCCCUGGCUGUAUUGAAAUUCUAACCCGCGGCCCCUGAUCGGGCCGGGAGACAGUGUCAGGUGGGCAGUUUGACUGGGGCGGUCGCCUCCUAAAAAUGUAACGGAGGCGCCCAAAGGUUCCCCUCAGAAUGGUUGGAAAUCAUUCGUAGAGUGUAAAGGCACAAGGGAGCUUGACUGCGAGACCUACAAGUCGAGCAGGGACGAAAAGUCGGGCUUAGUGAUCCGGUGGUUCCGCAUGGAAGGGCCAUCGCUCAACGGAUAAAAGCUACCCCGGGGAUAACAGGCUUAUCUCCCCCAAGAGUCCACAUCGACGGGGAGGUUUGGCACCUCGAUGUCGGCUCAUCGCAUCCUGGGGCUGUAGUCGGUCCCAAGGGUUGGGCUGUUCGCCCAUUAAAGCGGUACGCGAGCUGGGUUCAGAACGUCGUGAGACAGUUCGGUCCCCUAUCCGUCGUGGGCGUAGGAAAUUUGAGAGGAGCUGUCCUUAGUACGAGAGGACCGGGAUGGACACACCGCUGGUGUACCAGUUGUCUUGCCAAAGGCAUCGCUGGGUAGCUAUGUGUGGACGGGAUAAGUGCUGAAAGCAUCUAAGCAUGAAGCCCCCCUCAAGAUGAGAUUUCCCAUAGCGCAAGCUAGUAAGAUCCCUGAAAGAUGAUCAGGUUGAUAGGUCAGAGGUGGAAGCGUGGCGACAUGUGUAGCUGACUGAUACUAAUCGAUCGAGGACUUAACCAA
rnacentral:rRNA from 1 species